rnacentral:rRNA from 1 species
CGGGACGGGUGAGUAACGCGUGGGUAACCUGCCUCACACUGGGGGAGUAACAGUUAGAAAUAGCUGCUAAUACCGCAUAAGCGCACAGUUCCGCAUGGAACAGUGUGAAAAACUACCGGUGGUGUGAGAUGGACCCGCGUCUGAUUAGCCAGUUGGCGGGGUAACGGCCCACCAAAGCGACGAUCAGUAGCCGGCCUGAGAGGGUGAACGGCCACAUUGGGACUGAGACACGGCCCAA